ensembl:lncRNA
GGAACGACUAAGGGAGAGUCUGACGUAGGGUUGAGGGGUGGAGAUGCGGCCAGACUUGGAGGGGGCCAUUGAGGAAGGACUGGUCAGUGGAAAGACUGAAGGCUAUUGGAGGAGUUAAACUAAGAGGGAGGGUUCAGAUCAGGGACCUAAUAUCCAGCCAGGAAAAGGGCCCCAGACCGAAACAGGGAGUCCAAGAAGUCGUAUCCUGUCGUUUCCAGUAUAGUGGGUUCUUAGACUUAGCCGUUGUUGAUCAGAGAAGUCGUCUGAAAGACUCUUCUAGGGCUGGAAUGACACCCGAGGGCAGCCUCGUCCAACCCUACUUGGACCAGAAAGCUGGCUGGCCUCUCAGCGUGCUCGAAUCAGCUCUCCUCCAACAGUUUCAUUUUCAGAUAGUUCAUUGCUAGUUAUUAUGGGCUAAAUAUUUGUGUCCCCGCAAAGUUCAUUCAUUGAAGUUCUAAUCCCCAAUGUGAUGAUGGUCUU